GCUAGAGCGUUUGUUCACGCCUCGGUCUAGUGUCAGUUUCAUAGACACUAUUUCUGGCCGUUCUGGGAUUCUAGUAUGGUUUUCAAGGAUUGUGAGUGAUUUUCUCCAAGUGAGAGAGUGAUAAUAUCGUGACUGAGGUAUACAGUGCCCCCAGGGUGCAAGACGUUACCUGUAAGAAAAGAAGAGGAAGGGGUGUAUACAUCACAAAAAGUUUUAAUUAUGCUCGGAAAUGUGAUCUGGCAAAAGCUGCACAAAUGAUUCAUAGAUCUCGGAAUAUAAGUGAAACAAAGUGUGUUCAUUAAUAUCAUUAUAAUCUGUAAGCCCUUGCUGCGUAAUCAUUCAGUAAGGCUCAUACAGGAGUGCAUAAAUCAGUGUACAUUUUUUGAAAGUGUUUGAAAAGAAUAGCAGUACUCAAGAAUACAUAAGAAGAACAGGAGAGAGGGUCACUAGCUACAGGAACCCGAACGCAGUCCCCGCCAGAGGGAACAGCGCCGUCGCUUACCAAGAUUUGCGAGGCUUGCACGACAAAAGGCAAAAUGUCGUCGGCAGGAGGACUCCUGUCAUGAGCCUGUAGGCCUGGUCAUGCCAGUGAAUCGACGCUACAAAAGUAAAAAGACGGUGUGCGCUGUGCAGAGGUCGUCAG